GUCUCCUUAGUAUAGCAAUACAGAUGACUUCCAAUCAUCUAACCUUGGCGAGACCCCAGGAGGAGAUA
rnacentral:tRNA from 1 species